rnacentral:lncRNA from 1 species
AAAAAUUCUCAAGGCAUUCAUUAUUGCUAAUGUGAGUACAUCGAGGUCUCGAAUAAACGAAAGACGUCAAUACGACGUCUUAUUACAUAUAGCUUGGAAAUAAAAUCAAUGUUUCAUGACAUCGAAGUCAGAGGUAGCUAGAGCUGGAUCUGACUCUUUGAAAUUCGUGAUCAUGAGGAUAACGUUAUUGUCCUCAUAUUGAUUUUCCGUACCGUUUUGUAUGCAUUCACGAUUUGAGGAUGAGCUAAACUAUCUUGAACCAGUGAUCCGGAGAUCCACACGGUUGCAUUGUCCUAAGCGGGCAUAAGUAGUUUUGACAGAUUAGUGUCUAGAUCGGAAGUGUCGCCAUUAGGGCUAGCGGCACCUCCGCUUCUUUUCAAGACAUCGACACGGCGUUUUUUGUCGUUGCCGUGACCCAUAUUGUUUUCCCCACAUUAGGCGUUAAUCCCAUAUGCGCAGGCUAAUACGUUUAUCUCAUUAGCGUUUAUGCAAUUCUCGUUUGCAACAUAAUGAUCAAAAUCACGUCUCGUUGGUAAUUCCAAACAAACUUGGAGGGCCUAGAGAACUUGAUGAUGAUCAAAUCUGCUGAUGAUGAUCAAAUCUGCUAAAGAUUAUGGAUCAUGAUGGCACAAAAUUUUACCGAUAAUGUGUAGUCAUAAAAAGGUGGUAAACAAUCCACGUGACUAAUAACAAGUUGAGUUAGAUAGACGUUUCAAGAAACGCUCCAUAAGUGCAUUCUAAAGUACUUUGUGGUCAUUACUUUUUUCACAGAUUGUCGUUGAAGGCUUUUGUCGAUGUGGCGUUUCAAAACUUUGAGCGCAUGAGAUGUGAAAUCUCGACAUCUAGGGUUGUUAGCCUGGGGGUCAAAACAUGUGGUUUAAUCAUUUCCAAGGAAAGGUUCCACAAAUACCUAGCGAAGAUUCGUCUUAGGCAUCAAGUACGUCAAAACUCAAAUGAGUAGAAUGUUUUGAGACUCGAUAGAGGUCACAAACGAUGUUUUUAAUGGUUUGUGUUUCUACCUCUUCCGAGAACACAGGACGGGAGGUUGAAUCCUUGGUUCCGAAUCCUGUAACUGCACAAGUAACAACACAUCAGGAGUCGGGGCUGGGAUGACCCAGUCUUCGACUCUCCGAUGCUUAAGUCAGCGUUCGAUUGCUACUUGUAUAGUACGGGAAUGUAUAGUACGGGAGUAUGGGAGGAAUAAUGGAACUUACCUUUUCUGGGAGUUCGUGCCUGUUUUAUAGGCUUGUAUUGGGGGUUUUGUGAUUAGUCCCCGAUAUGGGACUGUUCUGUGGUACUGUUCAGUCUCUUCCUUUUCAGAGGUGUUUAGCUAUUGCAGAGUGGGUUCGGCAUGCAUGUUGCUGUUAUGCUCCCACUCUUUGGACAUCCGUGGCAGGUUUGUCGGUGAUGGCUUGGCCGGAAUGGCUUCUGGCGAGUGGGUAAUGAUCUUGCAUUCUCGGCAUGGCCAAGUUUUUUGGCUAUGUAUUAACAGUUUGUCAUUCAGAUUGAUCACACACAAUCUGGAAAAGCCGUGAAUUGAUCAAACACAAUUCAGAAAAAAGCUUUGGAUUGAUCAAACACAAUCCGGAGAAUGGUCGGGGUUGAUCACACACAACCCGGAUAAGGAAACAAGAGUGAUCAAACACACUCUUGAAACGCGAAUAAAAUUCCGAGAUUUUGGUACCUGCACGCACAAAAUCUCAAGCAUGGAAUGAAGAUGGAGAAGGGAGGAAAGAAUUUUAUCCUCCCCGAGUUAUUAAAUUUGGAAAAGUUUAGGGUUUCAAAACAUACAUUUCGAAACUUCAAAUGCUUGAAGAAGUCGAAAAUUAUAUUUGGAGGAAACUAAGAAUCGUUGGCGGGUGGUGGCCAAGGGAUUGGCAGUCGGUGAUGUCGGACGGCGGCCGGGAAAACAGGCGGCGGCGGUCAAUUAUAGGAGCCGAAAAACAUUUUUUUAAGGUUUCAGAAAACAAAUGGUGGGCUAUUGGCUCUUGGGUUAGAACAAAAUGCAUGAUGACGUGAUGAAGAAUAAAGUGUAGAGACAAAGAUAUCUAGUAAGUGAAUAGAGAAUCAUCAUCUUAUUCAUUUAUAAGAGCUCUUUAUAUAGAGAAUUACAAAGUACUAAUAUGGUAAUGAUAAAGUAUACAUAGUCUUAUUCCAACUACAUAUCCUGAUGACAUAAGGCCAAGACACACAUAUGGAAUAUCCUAGAACAUAAUUCUUUUUAUUGUACAUAAGAGUUCAUAUUUAUGUGAAUAUAACAUAAUAAAUAAGGGUUUAUAUUAAUUAAAUUAAAUAAUAAGUGAAUUUAAGUUGUGUAAAUAUGUAUAUUUUUUUUGAAACUAGGGUAUCCGGAUCUUUGACCCGACUAAUACCUAGGCUUUCCUCCUGACCCAUAACAUUUGGGAAACUGGAAACUCUAGCAAUUGCUAGGUGGGUGUCAUGGGAGAGGGUCGAACCCCAGACUUCUUGGGAGCAAACCAAGUGUCUGACUGCUAGACCAACAACUCUUUGGUCGGUAGAAUGUGAGACACCGUUUUGAAGUUUUUGAAAUGUGAGAUAUCAAAAAUUAGUUUCUCUGAAAGUUAAGGCAAUGUUUGGUCAAUUUUUCUCAAUUAGCAAAGAGUGCAUCAUUGGCUAUUCCAUUUACUUUUUAAUUUUAGCGACAUACCGGAAAAAUAAUGUUUACACGAAGCCAUCUAAUUUUAAUAAGAACAACUUUUCUGCUAUAUUGCCACUAGAACCAAAUUUUGGUGACACUUGGUCUCAUCUUGUCGCUAGGAGGUAACGACCAUUUGACAACGCAAGGAACUCGUUGCCGUCCUAGGCUAGACACGGCACCCAAGAUGCUUAAACUGGGACAACGCUCACUUCUUAUUGAAAGCAGUAAAUAGAUUGUACCUAAAACGAAAAAACAACUGAAAUUAAAUAACAUAGGUGCCCAAGAAAAGCCCAGGUCUUGAAUCAAGACCAAAUAUAAGUCCAAUAAUGAGAGAAGACCACACUAGUCCCAAAAGCACUCCAGGACCAUCGUGAGACCGCCCACAACCUGCCACUGUCGUAGUCCAUACCUCCUCACCGUCAUAGCACCAUCACUGAACCCAAAACAAGUGCGUGCGCUAGGUUGACAAACACAAUUUCCUGAAGCCAGAUUGAGAAGAUCAAUGGACCUUGUAUGUAAUCAACCACUUCACCAACAAUAGAGAGAUCUCCUUGCCUACAAUUAAUCCAGACCCGAUCACACUCUGAUUGAAUUGAUCUCCAACUCCCCAUCUUUUCUCCUACAGUCUGGCCAUCGCCAUGUCGUCGAGUACCCGUGAUGGUAAAUCGACCGAUUCAACCUUUCAAAUCCGUCCUCUUCCAUCGGUCCUACCACCAUAGAUCCCAAAGGGAACCCUUGCCCAAAACACACAAUCUCCCUUUCCCAUCAUUGUCACAGAUUUCAGACCCAAACAAGAGACCACCAGAACAGCCAAUAAAGGCUUGGCAAAGCACGUCCCGUCCUGAUAGGAGCAUAAAAUGUGACAUUCUUAAUGUGUUAUUACCUCAAUUUGUACUUUGAUUAUCUCUUAUUGUCGUAGAAUAGAGUCAUAAUGUAGAGUCGAAAGUUUUUGGUGGAGUUAUGUGUAAAACGUGUUAAACAUAGAGGAAUGAUGUAGAAAAUUGUCAAAAGCUGAUUUGUGGAGCCUUAGAGAUGUUUUUUAUGAUUCUGUAAAGCUUUUACAUUGUCACAAAUUGAUUUAACUUCUCUGAUAUUUAGGUGACAUGUAGAAGAGUGCUGAGAGGAGUGUUCCUGAUGGACCUAGGGAAGCANNNN